rnacentral:siRNA from 1 species
AAGCUGGAUGCCGUAUAAGGA